UUCGAAUUUCUGUGCAUGGCACCUCUCUUCGUGGCACCCAUGAGUCAGAAACUCAGGCCACCACCCUUAUCUCUGCCCUCCCUCCUCUCCAAAUUGAAUCUGUUAUCAAGUCUAAUCAGUUCUAUUUCCUAUACAACGUUCAAACCCACCCUUUUUUUUUCAUUCGUACUGCUUCUACCCUAAUUCAGGUUCUCCUAUCUCUCAUCCCAAGAGGACUCUAUCUUCCUACCUCCAGCCCAACCCCUCUAAUUUCUUUUCUAUGUUGCUUUCAUUAUGAAUCAUGUGAAAUGCAAAACUUGAUCAUAUCAUCCCUAAUUGAAAGCUCCCCCUUACUUUCAGAAGAAAGUCCAAACUCCUAAAUAUGGCAAAAGGAUUUUUAAUGAACUGGCCCAAGCUUACCUCUUCAUGCACAUCCUUUGCCACUUUGUACUCAUCAUGCACCCAUAUGCCAGUCCUCAUCCAGCUGUCUGCAUUUUCCAAACAUACUGUGUUGUCUCACAUGUCUGUGCUUUACACGUGUUGGGUGAUUCCUCUGUCCUUUGCCUCUUGGACUUGACUUUUUCUCAUCUUUCAUGGGUCAUCUGGUAAUCACCUUCAUGAAGACUUUCUGUAUCAGCCCAGGCAGAAUCACAGUUCUCUGGGCCCCUCAGCAUCCUGAACAUCCCUCUACUACCAUGCAGAACCUAUCUCAUAAGGUUAUUGUAAGGAUUAAAUGAAUUCAUAAAGUGCUUGGAGCCUGGUUCCUGGUGGAAAUGUCAAGAUCUCUCCCUCCCCUGGUCUCAUUGUGAGGUGGGGGACUUUACCACACCUCUUUUGUGAGCUGAAGCUGAGUACAAGCCAUCUGCUAAAGCUGGGAUGUUCCUGGAACUGAGUGUGGGUCAUGAAACCAACUCCCCAACAAGGACACCAGAACUUAGACGUCGAAACGAGCAUUGUCCAAUUGUGUACUUGUUCAAUCGUAUUGCCUGGGCUUGAAACAUGUUUAAAACUCCUCCUGGACUCUUCUUCAGAGCCAUUUAAACCAUACACACAGGCGUGUGCUCAGUGAUGCCACGGUCAGCCUGUCCUUCCUUCCACAGCAUGCCUCGGUUCUGAUGGAAAAGGGCAGUUACCCACUUGUUCACUUAUCUUAUUAAUUAGUCUUAGCUCUUGAUGACUUCAGGUUUCUCUGCAAAGUCAAAUCUACCCCUAAG
rnacentral:lncRNA from 10 species